GCUCCGGUAUGCAGCUGGCAGGGCCUUCUGAAGAGAAUGAGCUAAGUGGACAUUAACAUUAAUCAGCUGUUAUAAAAGUAACACUUCAGUGGAAUUUCUAGCUUCUUUUUACCACCAUCUUCAGUGCUGUGUUUUUGCAAGAAAGGCUACGUUGAUAGGCUCCUGGAUCACCUCAAAGAGGUCACCCUUGAUCCAGUGCCAUAUGUGGAGAAGCUGUGCAAGCUGUCCAUCCCAGGACCACUGUCUGCCCAGGAGGAGGCCAUAGCUGGAUUUGUCUCUUCGCUUCAAUCUUGGGGGUGACCGAUACCAGAUGCACCAUCGAGAGCAUCCUGUCGGGCUGUAUCACCGCCUGGUAUGGCAACUGCUCCGCCCACAACCGUAAGGCUCUCCAGAGGGUAGUGAGGUCUGCACAACGCAUCACCGGGGGCAAACUACCUGUCCCUCCAGGUCACCUACACCACCCAAUGUCACAGGAAGGUCAUAAAGAUCAUCAAGGACAACCACCCAAGCCACUACCUGUUCACCCCGCUAUCAUCCAGAAGUCGAGGUCAGUACAGGUGCAUCAAAGCUGGGACCGAGAGACUGAAAAACAGCUUCUAUCUCAAGGCCAUCAGGCUGUUAAACAGCCACCACUAACAUUGAGUGGCUGCUGCCAACAUGCUGACUCGACUUCGGCCACUUUAAUAAUGGAAAUUGCUGUAAUACAUGUCUCACUAGCCAUUUUAAACUAUGCCACUUUUAUGUUUACAUACCGUACAUUACUCAUCUCAUAUGUAUAUACUGUACUCGAUACCAUCUACUGCAUCUUGCCUAUGCUGUUCUGUACCAUCACUCAUUCAUAUAUCUUUAUGUACAUAUUCUUUAUCCCUUUACACUUGUGUGUAUAAGGUAGUAGUUGUGGAAUUGUUAGAUUAGAUUACUCGUUGGUUAUUACUGCAUUGUCGGAACUAGAAGCAUAAGCAUUUCGCUACACUUGCAUUAACAUCUGCUAACCAUGUGUAGGUGACAAAUAAAAUUUGAUUUGAUUUGAAUCUGUGGUUUUUGGCCUGACUUCAAACACUAUAGCACUAGCAAUAUAAAACACAUAUAUAUUGUUGGGGCCAAUUCAUAUGGGCACUAGGUCAAUGGUAUUACGCAGCACUAUUGAAACUGGUAUGCUAAA